rnacentral:rRNA from 1 species
AGCGAACGCUGGCGGCAGGCCUAACACAUGCAAGUCGAACGGACCUUUCGGGGUUAGUGGCGGACGGGUGGGUAACACGGGGGAACGUGCCCGUAGGUUCGGAAUAACUCAGGGUAAGUUGUGCUAAUACAGAAUGUGCCCUUCGGGGGUAAGAUUUGUCGCCUUUUGAGUGGCGCGCGUCUGAUUAGCUGGUUGGGUGUGGUAAUGGCUCACCAAGGCGACGAUCAGUAGCUGGGCGGGGCGGAUGAUCUGACACAUUGGGACUGAGACACGGACCAAACCCCGACGGGAGGCAGCGGUGGGGAAUCUUACGCAAUGAGCGAAAACGUGACGCAGCCGUGCCGGGUAAAUGAUGAAGGUCUUAGGAUUGUAAAAUUCUUUCUCCGGGGACGUUAAUGACGGUACCCGGAGAAGAAGCCCCGGCUAACUACGUG